rnacentral:tRNA from 1 species
CGUGCCGGUAGAUGAGGUUGCCGAACCGGUCGGCCUGGUAUGCGGAGAUGAUGGCGAAGUCGGGGCGGAGCGCCGUUUCGAGAACGUGCGGCACGCC